rnacentral:rRNA from 1 species
UACGGAGGGUGCAAGCGUUAUCCGGAUUCACUGGGUUUAAAGGGAGCGUAGGUGGGUUGGUAAGUCCGUGGUGAAAUCUCCGAGCUUAACUUGGAAACUGCCAUGGAUACUAUCAGUCUUGAAUAUUGUGGAGGUCAGCGGAAUAUGUCAUGUAGCGGUGAAAUGCUUAGAUAUGACAUAGAACACCAAUUGCGAAGGCAGCUUACUACACAGUUAUUGACGCUGAGGCACGAAAGCGUGGGGAUCAAACAGG